AACGAACGCUGGCGGCAGGCCUAACACAUGCAAGUCGAGCGAGGUAGCAAUACCUAGCGGCGGACGGGUGAGUAACGCGUGGGAACGUACCCUUUGCUACGGAAUAGCCCCGGGAAACUGGGAGUAAUACCGUAUGUGCCCUUCGGGGAAGGAUUAUCGGCAAGAUCGCCGCGUGAUAGUAGUGUGGGUAAGUGCUACCAAGCGACGAUCCAUAGCUGGUUUGAGAGGAUGAUCAGCCACACUGGGACUGAGACACGGCCCAGACUCCUACGGGAGGCAGCAGUGGGGAAUCUUAGACAAUGGGCGCAAGCCUGAUCUAGCCAUGCCGCGUGAGUGAUGAAGGCCUUAGGGUUGUAAAGACUCUUUC
rnacentral:rRNA from 1 species